UUACUAUGUCGCGCAUUUUCGUUGGUAACUUAUCUCGUAAUGUACGAAGAAGUGAUUUAGAAAAACAUUUUUCUGAGUUCGGUAGCAUACAAAAAAUCGAUUUAAAGUCUGGAUACGCUUUUAUUGAUUACAAGGAACAGAGAGAUGCAGACGACGCCAUUCGUGAAUUAAAUUAUACAAAGUUUGACGGUCAAAGGAUUGUCGUUGAACUUUCACGCAGCUCAGGCCACCGCCGAGAAAGAUCUACUGGUGACCGUUGUUUUGUUUGUAACGAGAGUGAUCAUUGGGCUAGAGACUGCCCUUACACCGUCGGGAGCGGGGAUUGCCGUAGUGGGAAUUGCUUUAAAUGUGGGGAACCCGGACACUUAGCUCGAAACUGUGGCGAAAGCGUCAGAGGCCGUGACAGCUACCGACGAGGUUAUAGAGGGAGAUCAAGAAGAGAGGGUUGGACAGUAGGAGGAUUGUAAAUUUACUGGAAUAUUCUUUAUUCAGGACGGAUUAGGCAGAUUUUAAUUAAUCUUCUUGGAAAAUGUUUGGAUUAAUAUAAAGGAUAUAAUAUAUAAUAAGUUUAUGUGAGAACGGAAUGAAAAAUUAGUGGAAUUGGAUGGGACCAGUCUUUUGUCGAACUCGAAGCUUCACGCGCAGUAACAGCCGAAGUGUUAGUCGCCGACGAAGCCGAUCUCGCAGUCCUUCGCGGAGUCGAAGCCGGUCUCGAAGCUCAUUUCGUGCGCGUUCGCCUCGUUAUAGCCGCAGAAGUCGCACGCGCAGUCGCAGCCGCUCGCCGCGUUAUAGCAGAGGCAGUCGCUACAGCAGCAGUCGCUAUCGCGAUCGCGAUCGCAAGCAUUCCGUUAGCCGAUCACGUUCACGUUCACGUUCAUGCUCACGUUCUUGAACUAUUUGCUAGAGAAAUUUAAGCGCACUUCGUUUUUAUUAUUUAAUA